GACGGAGGGCGCGAGCGUUGUUCGGAAUUACUGGGCGUAAAGCGCGCGCAGGCGGACUCGUGCGUCGGGAGUGAAAGCCCGGGGCUCAACCCCGGUGUUUGCUUCCGAUACGGCGGGUCUAGGGACCGGUAGAGGCCGGUGGAAUUCCCGGUGUAGCGGUGGAAUGCGUAGAGAUCGGGAAGAACACCAGUGGCGAAGGCGGCCGGCUGGGCCGGAGAGCUCCCUUUCGGGGGAGUGUCCGACGCUCAUGCGCGAAAGCGUGGGGAGCAAACAGG
rnacentral:rRNA from 1 species